UGGACCUGAUAUCAAGUAAGAACUACCCGCUGAACUUAAGCAUAUCAAUAGNCCGGAGGA
rnacentral:rRNA from 1 species